GCCGAGGGGAUCCACCUGUUCUCAUCCCGAACACAGAAGUUAAGCCCUCUAAGCGCCGACAAUACUUGGCUGGCGACGGCCCGGGAAGAUAGGUUCCGCCG
rnacentral:rRNA from 1 species